UACGUAGGGUGCGAGCGUUAAUCGGAAUUACUGGGCGUAAAGCGUGCGCAGGCGGUUUCGCAAGUCAGAUGUGAAGGCCCCGGGCUCAACCUGGGAAUUGCAUUUGAAACUACGAGGCUAGAGUGUGUCAGAGGGGGGUAGAAUUCCGCGUGUAGCAGUGAAAUGCGUAGAGAUGUGGAGGAAUACCGAUGGCGAAGGCAGCCCCCUGGGAUAACACUGACGCUCAUGCACGAAAGCGUGGGGAGCAAACAGG
rnacentral:rRNA from 1 species